CCCAAGAGAUCGGGAUAACACCUGGAAACANAUGCUAAUACCGGAUAACAACAGAUGAUGCCUAUCAACUGUUUAAAAGAUGGUUCUGCUAUCACUCUUGGAUGGACCUGCGGUGCAUUAGCUAGUUGGUAGGGUAACGGCCUACCAAGGCGAUGAUGCAUAGCCGAGUUGAGAGACUGAUCAGCCACAUUGGGACUGAGACACGGCCCAAACUCCUACGGGAGGCAGCAGCU
rnacentral:rRNA from 1 species